UACGAAGGGGGCUAGCGUUGUUCGGAAUCACUGGGCGUAAAGCGCACGUAGGCGGACUGAUAAGUCGGGGGUGAAAUCCCGGGGCUCAACCCCGGAACUGCCUUCGAUACUGUCAGUCUCGAGUCCGAGAGAGGUGAGUGGAAUUCCUAGUGUAGAGGCGAAAUUCGUAGAUAUUAGGAAGAACACCAGUGGCGAAGGCGGCUCACUGGCUCGGUACUGACGAUGAGGUGCGAAAGCGUGGGGAGCAAACAGG
rnacentral:rRNA from 1 species